ACAGAAGGGGGUUGGCCUUAGGGUCCAGUACUGAGAAAUUUCUUACCUGAUAAUUUUCUGUUAGAAGGCUCUCUCUUCAUUCACCACUGAUGGGUUAAUGCCCCCCCGUGAAAUUCGGAAGCAACCUAAUGUUGUUGCUGGAGGCUCCAGGACUAAGCUCCACCCUGCAGUUUAGGCCACCACCAGAUUUCUUCCACAGCUGUAGAAAUACUCUAGCAACUGAUUGUUAGCGUUAAGACAACUUGAUAUAAUGUAUCAAUUAACCUUGAACCUUACGCAUGUAAUUGUUUUCUUUUAGGUAAAAAUUUCAAUUUGUGUUCUAAUCAUUUACCAGACUAUCAGGGUGGGUUGAAUUAGGAGAAAAGCUGUGCAACAGAAAAUUAUCAGAUAAGAAAUAUUACAUUGUGUUGCACAGUAUCUCUCCUCAGUUGUCACUAAUGGGAAGCAGAGAAAACAUAGCAGUAGUGGAUGAAAUGAUAAGCAGAGUUUUAAGUGGUAUAAUAGAAUAAUAGGCAGUAAUGAAAGUUCCCCCCAUAUAAGGCAAGGAAUUGUGGGAACCAACCCAGUAGCACCUUUCUACUGAAGGAGGCCUCUGCAGAGAAAUGGAAACCUACUUUUCCUCAGUGCCAGUAGGGGGCUUCUGUGUAUAGCUUCCUAGAUGCUCAACAUGCCAGCGGAUACAGGACUUUUAUAUCUUGCCUGUAGCAACUCUGAGACCCUAAGGCUUUGGCAUUUUGGGUAGAAUAAGAUGAGCAGGGUGCUAUUGGUGUGUGAAUGCCACAUACUUGAGCUAUAUCUUUAUAACAUUAGGAAUGCCUAUUUAUGACACAGCUUGCCAAAGGAGAGCUAAGGGUUAGACCAAAUGAUGGGAGAACUGUUUCCCAGGAAUUACGAGAAAGGAACUUAUAGCUCCAGAAACUUUUCUGUUCAAGGUGGAAGCGAUCGAAGCUGAAAUCCCACUACUGCAGGUAACCGAAGAUAAAAGGGUGCAUCUCUUGCAUGUGUGAGGUUUCAGACCAGGUCUGGAUUCUGCUCACCUGUGUGCUGCUUUGGUGCCUCCAGAAGUAGCUGCUGAUCAGCACAACAAAGUUUCCCGUAAUAGGGGAAGAAACAAAGCAGCUCUGCCAAGGAAGCUUUGGCAGAGAGUUGCACAGUAUCUGCAGGAAAGUUUCCUACCGCUCUCUAUGGAGGAUUCCUGGGAGAUCUCAGUGUGCAUUAACAAACUUUUCUGUAGCCCCUGCCCCCGUGUAGCCGCACAGGGGAAUGCGAAGCAGAUGCAAACAGUACCUAGUGUUGUUAAUUUUGAUCCCUUCUCUCACGUGCACCAUGUAACAAAAUAAAGGAUGCCUCUACCUUAUGUAACUGCACUAUCAGAAAAAAAAAGAGAGUACUUACCAGAGCUCCACUCUCUUGCUUCAGACACACUAGAGCCAGACUGCUAGGACUGGCCAGACCCCUCCAGAUACAAAAGAGGUCCUGGCUCACCACACCACCAGACAAGCCUGGUGCCUGUCCCACAUCCUUCUCCAACUCGACCUCCUUGUCCAGCACUUCGCCCUUGGGCUUGACUUCCUGGGCACUGCCUCCAGUCCCACCCCAAAGUAUCCACAGGGCUCUGGCAGCAGAGGUAUACCAGCUUCUACUCCUUGUAGAAGCUGCAUGUUUUCUGCACUACACCAGUGACAGUUGGCCUCCCUUGCCUUCUGGUUCACCUGCCUCAGCUCCUUGAUCUUGGCAUGGUACUGCUGCGUGUCCCUUCUGUGCCCUUCUCAGCCAUCUGAACUAUCCUAUGGCUCAGAGCUGCGACUGCACAGCCUCCUCUCCCCACAGAGCCAACAGAUCCAGCAACUCUGCUGUACUCCACACAGGAGCCUAUUUGUUGCAGAAAGCCAGCAUAAUUAGCUGGGAAGAUGCAAUGUGAGCUGUCCACCCCAAGCAAACAGGAAAUAGAAUUGCAAAAAUUCCUGAGGCGUUAAAGGGGGAAGGGUGGAUGCCUGUGUACUUGGUGGCAGGGCAGCAGAGAAGAAACGGCUUACCAUAGUGGUCAUGAUGGGCAUUGUGGAACACCUCCUUGAGGCCACUUAGGGCGACAUAAGCAAGCACAGUGUCUACACUUGUACUGAGUCACUAACUUUUUCGCAAAAGCCUCCAUGCCGCUCAUUGAGGUGGUUUUAUUAUGUUGGCAUAGCAGGAGAGUUAAAUCAGCAGAAGCUCUGUUGUGUGUACACUUCAACUGUUUUGUCAAUGAAACCUGACUUUUGUCAACAAAACUGUGUAGUGCAGACAUGCCCAUAGUGUUAAUAUUAAAAUAGGUAUUACAAUUAUAAAAAUGUUUGUAAGUUGCUACCUGCAUCUCACUUAUAAUAUCUGUAUCCCAUAUUGUAAGGUAAUAUUUGAGCAUUUGCAUUGUAUGUCUCUGUAACUAUGUAAAUCACCAGACAGAAGAAAAGCAGCAACUAAUGUGAAAUACUAGUCUCCAACAGAUGAUGGUAUGACCUGCAUGACAAAAAAGGCCCAUUGACACCAGACAAAAUUUGUGGAUCAGAGAAUAGGACUUUGUUGAUUGCUCUCUCUCUUCCCUCCCACUCCCUCUCCCGUGAUGAGAUGUGCAAGUGAAUUCCUCCCAUCAGCUAAGUUUGCAACUCAAAACAGAUGGGGUGGGAGGAGGGGAAUUAAUAUAAAGCCCUAACAAAGAGGAACUGUAUCUCAGUGCUGCUCGGACUCUCAAGGGCAAGGUUUUCUACGCAUAAGCAAGAGAUCUCCCGUGUUUAGCCUGGGUUAGCUCUGAAGGACAUAUAGACCUAGCUUGUUAUAGAAUUUGCUACUACUUCUUCUUGAAAGUUAAGAUUGGAACUCAUGUGCAUGUUUGUAUGGUUGCCUACUUUCAUCUUGUAAAUAAUACUCAUUUCCUUUGCCGACAUAAUAAAUGUUUACACAGUUCAUUACA